rnacentral:rRNA from 1 species
AUUGAACGCUGGCGGCAGGCUUAACACAUGCAAGUCGAGCGAGCGGCGGACGGGUGAGUAAUGUAUGGGGAUCUGCCCGGUAGCGGGGGAUAACUACUGGAAACGGUGGCUAAUACCGCAUACUAUUGGAUGAACCCAUAUGGGAUUAGCUAGUUGGUGGGGUAAAGGCUCACCAAGGCGACGAUCUGUAGCUGGUCUGAGAGGAUGACCAGCCACACUGGGACUGAGACACGGCCCAGACUCCUACGGGAGGCAGCAGUGGGGAAUGUUGGACAAUGGGCGCAACCCUGAUGCAGCCAUGCCGCGUGUAGGAAGAAGGCCUUAGGGUUGUAAAGUACUUUCAGCAGGGAGGCGUUACCCGCAGAAUAAGCACCGGCUAACUCCGUGCCAGCAGCCGCGGUAAUAC